rnacentral:rRNA from 1 species
UUGAACGCUGGCGGCAGGCCUAACACAUGCAAGUCGAACGGUAACAGGAAGAAGCUUGCUUCUUUGCUGACGAGUGGCGGACGGGUGAGUAAUGUCUGGGAAACUGCCUGAUGGAGGGGGAUAACUACUGGAAACGGUAGCUAAUACCGCAUAACGUCGCAAGACCAAAGAGGGGGACCUUCGGGCCUCUUGCCAUCGGAUGUGCCCAGAUGGGAUUAGCUAGUAGGUGGGGUAACGGCUCACCUAGGCGACGAUCCCUAGCUGGUCUGAGAGGAUGACCAGCCACACUGGAACUGAGACACGGUCCAGACUCCUACGGGAGGCAGCAGUGGGGAAUAUUGCACAAUGGGCGCAAGCCUGAUGCAGCCAUGCCGCGUGUAUGAAGAAGGCCUUCGGGUUGUAAAGUACUUUCAGCGGGGAGGAAGGGAGUAAAGUUAAUACCUUUGCUCAUUGACGUUACCCGCAGAAGAAGCACCGGCUAACUCCGUGCCAGCAGCCGCGGUAAUACGGAGGGUGCAAGCGUUAAUCGGAAUUACUGGGCGUAAAGCGCACGCAGGCGGUUUGUUAAGUCAGAUGUGAAAUCCCCGGGCUCAACCUGGGAACUGCAUCUGAUACUGGCAAGCUUGAGUCUCGUAGAGGGGGGUAGAAUUCCAGGUGUAGCGGUGAAAUGCGUAGAGAUCUGGAGGAAUACCGGUGGCGAAGGCGGCCCCCUGGACGAAGACUGACGCUCAGGUGCGAAAGCGUGGGGAGCAAACAGGAUUAGAUACCCUGGUAGUCCACGCCGUAAACGAUGUCGACUUGGAGGUUGUGCCCUUGAGGCGUGGCUUCCGGAGCUAACGCGUUAAGUCGACCGCCUGGGGAGUACGGCCGCAAGGUUAAAACUCAAAUGAAUUGACGGGGGCCCGCACAAGCGGUGGAGCAUGUGGUUUAAUUCGAUGCAACGCGAAGAACCUUACCUGGUCUUGACAUCCACAGAACUUUCCAGAGAUGGAUUGGUGCCUUCGGGAACUGUGAGACAGGUGCUGCAUGGCUGUCGUCAGCUCGUGUUGUGAAAUGUUGGGUUAAGUCCCGCAACGAGCGCAACCCUUAUCCUUUGUUGCCAGCGGUCCGGCCGGGAACUCAAAGGAGACUGCCAGUGAUAAACUGGAGGAAGGUGGGGAUGACGUCAAAUCAUCAUGCCCCUUAUGAGCAGGGCUACACACGUGCUACAAUGGCGCAUACAAAGAGAAGCGACCUCGCGAGAGCAAGCGGACCUCAUAAAGUGCGUCGUAGUCCGGAUUGGAGUCUGCAACUCGACUCCAUGAAGUCGGAAUCGCUAGUAAUCGUGGAUCAGAAUGCCACGGUGAAUACGUUCCCGGGCCUUGUACACACCGCCCGUCACACCAUGGGAGUGGGUUGCAAAAGAAGUAGGUAGCUUAACCUUCGGGAGGGCGCUUACCACUUUGUGAUUCAUGACUGGGGUG